rnacentral:rRNA from 1 species
CCUACGGGAGGCAGCAGUAGGGAAUCUUCCACAAUGGGCGAAAGCCUGAUGGAGCAACGCCGCGUGGGUGAAGAAGGUCUUCGGAUCGUAAAACUCUGUUGUUAGAGAAGAAAGGGCGUGAGAGUAACUGUUCACGUUUCGACGGUAUCUAACCAGAAAGCCACGGCUAACUACGUGCCAGCAGCCGCGGUAAUACGUAGGUGGCAAGCGUUAUCCGGAUUUAUUGGGCGUAAAGGGAACGCAGGCGGUCUUAUAAGUCAGAUGUGAAAGCCUUCGGCUUAACCGGAGUAGUGCAUUGGAAACUGGGGGACUUGAGUACAGAAGAGGAGAGUGGAACUCCAGGUGUAGCGGUGAAAUGCGUAGAUAUAAGGAAGAACACCAGUGGCGAAGGCGGCUCUCUGGUCUGUAACUGACGCUGAGGUUCGAAAGCGUGGGUAGCAAACAGGAUUAGAUACCCUGGUAGUC